GUGUAAGUUCGGAGGCGGGCUGUCUUUGGAUAUUCGCAUAUCUCUGACACCGAUCACACUUUCUGACAUAUUCAAUGGAGUCAUGGUACAUUGUAGGCCAGUAAUAAACAUAUCAGAGCAGUUUGUGAAAUAAAGAUAUGGCCCCCAGGUGACUUCCACAGACUCCUUCAUAUACCUCCCACAAGGCAAAGUCGGCUUCAGAAGGUCGGAGAUAUUUCAGGAGGGGCAAAGAGUACGACC
rnacentral:lncRNA from 1 species